UCAGGACAAGAGAGACACCACAACAUUACGUAAAGAAAGACCUAAGACAACAACAUAGCAUGGCAGCAACACAUAAAAACACUUAAUGAUUACCUUUGUGGGGAUUUGUCACUUCAGCCCCGCAUGUAAAGCCCCUGUCUGAAGUUUUUGUCAGGUCAUAAUUGAUCUAUCGGAUCACGGUCGACCAGAAUACCGCCCCAUCACGACAGUUUUACACUAAUCUCUUCAAAGUAGUUUCUGACUCGAUGGGACAACAACUUUCAGGCCCUAUGAUCUAUCUGUUGAGGCGGGGUAUAAAGUCCUCGCCUCCCGCCUGGAGAAGGAGCCACAUUGAGCCACACCGUGACGAGAGGAAGCCUGAGCGCGAGUUCCCUCAACGGGACAUCUUCUUUCUCCUUACCAUCAUAUUUUCCUUUUUAUGGUGGAGCAACGGACAUCUCCUCAUGGUUGCCAAACAAGGUUCUAUUAACGACAAAGACAAAUAAAGCGUUCUCCUUCAGUGUUGAAUUUAUCCUUUCCGUGCGUCCUUCCCGGGAAGCAGCCGCACAACAAGCCAUUGAACAGCCAGCAACCAGGCGGAGGCGCAAGGCACCAUCCGGCGAUGCUGACUUGGUCGCAUCUUGGAGACACAAAUUCACUUCCCCCAGUUCACUACCAGCAUUUAAGUGGUUAUAAUCAAGGUCUGUAUAACGGGCAACCGGGCAGUCUAUCCACGGGAACCUCCGUGCGGAGAUCUGGCAGGAGAACCCGCAGCUGACCAAACUAGAAGAGGUGUUCAGUAAGCAGCGGUAAAUGACCGAGACGGAGAAGAUGCUUCUGGCCUCACCGCUGAGACUGACCCAGACACAGGUCAAAGUCUGGUUCCAGAACAGGAGAACGUGGUGGAGGAAGGCCCACGGGGACAUUGCCGGUGUACGGGAGAGCCACGUGCACGGCGAAACAUCGAGCAAGGAGGAGGAUGAGUUGAUUUCCGUGGACAAUGACGAGUCAUGGGUGUAUUUUUGAUUUAAAGUUAUAUUACUAAAUGCCUUGAGGCCAUCACACACAUUCACGAUGAUUCUUGAAUUAUUGUCAAAGAGAAACGUGUCUAUAUUUUACCACUGUGUGGCCUGGUGCUUCAGAUCGUCAAUCGGCUAUCAACUAGGCUAUGAUUCAUUGAAGAGAUUUAGCCAUGCCAUUUUUGUAAUGCAUUUUAUAUUCCUCUUUCACAACAUCUCUUAUGUGAUUUAGUUUUUCUCAUCCAGACCUAGCCUUCUACUCUGAACCCAGGAUAUAGACCUAGCCUUCUACUCUGAACCCAGGAUAUAGACCUAGCCUCCUACUCUGAACCCAGGAUAUAGACCUAGCCUCCUACUCUGAACCCAGGAUAUAGACCUAGCCUUCUACUCUGAACCCAGGAUAUAGGCCUAGCCUUCUACUCUGAACCCAGGAUAUAGACCUAGCCUCCUACUCUGAACCCAGGAUAUAGACCUAGCCUUCUACUCUGAACCCAGGAUAUAGGCCUAGCCUUCUAUACUGAACCCAGGAUAUAGACCUAGCCUCCUACUCUGAACCCAGGAUAUAGACCUAGCCUUCUACUCUGAACCCAGGAUAUAGACCUAGCCUCCUACUCUGAACCCAGGAUAUAGACCUAGCCUUCUACUCUGAACCCAGGAUAUAGACCUAGCCUCCUACUCUGAACCCAGGAUAUAGACCUAGCCUUCUACUCUGAACCCAGGAUAUAGGCCUAGCUUUCUACUCUGAACCCAGGAUAUAGACCUAGCCUCCUACUCUGAACCCAGGAUAUAGACCUAGCCUCCUUCUCUGAACCCAGGAUAUAGGCCUAGCCUCCUGUACUGAACCCAGGAUAUAGACCUAGCCUCCUACUCUGAACCCAGGAUAUAGGCCUAGCCUCCUACUCUGAACCCAGGAUAUAGGCCUAGCCUUCUAUACUGAACCCAGGAUAUAGACCUAGCCUUCUACUCUGAACCCAGGAUAUAGGCCUAGCCUUCUAUACUGAACCCAGGAUAUAAACCUAGCCUCCUACUCUGAACCCAGGACAUAGACCCAGCCUUCUAUACUGAACCCAGGAUAUAGACCUAGCCUCCUACUCUGAACCCAGGAUAUAGGCCUAGCCUUCUAUACUGAACCCAGGAUAUAGACCUAGCCUUCUAUACUGAACCCAGGAUAUAGGCCUAGCCUUCUAUACUGAACCCAGGAUAUAGACCUAGACUCGUACUUCUAUACUGCUGUUUUUUCUGUUCUACUGAUUACUGUCUCUAUAUUUUUGUUUUAACUGAUAUUUUUUAGCUACUUGAUUUGCAAUUCGCUUUAAUUUUUUCUAAUAAAUCUUUGGUCUAUAGAUGAGAAA